UACGGAGGGAGCUAGCGUUGUUCGGAAUUACUGGGCGUAAAGCGCGCGUAGGCGGCUUUGUAAGUUAGAGGUGAAAGCCCGGGGCUCAACCCCGGAAUUGCCUUUAAGACUGCAUCGCUUGAAUCCGGGAGAGGUGAGUGGAAUUCCGAGUGUAGAGGUGAAAUUCGUAGAUAUUCGCAAGAACACCAGUGGCGAAGGCGGCUCACUGGCCCGGUACUGACGCUGAGGUGCGAAAGCGUGGGGAGCAAACAGG
rnacentral:rRNA from 1 species